rnacentral:tRNA from 3 species
GCUGGCGUAGCUCAAUUGGUAGAGCAACUGACUUGUAAUCAGUAGGUUGCGGGUUCAAGUCCCAUCGCCAGCUCCA